UGGGGGAAUAUUGCACAAUGGGCGCAAGCCUGAUGCAGCGAUGCCGCGUGAGGGAAGAAGGUUUUCGGAUUGUAAACCUCUGUCAUCAGGGACGAAAAAGGACGGUACCUGAGAAGGAAGCUCCGGCUAACUACGUGCCAGCAGCCGCGGUAAUACGUAGGUGGCAAGCGUUGUCCGGAUUUACUGGGUGUAAAGGGCGUGCAGCCGGGCCGACAAGUCAGAUGUGAAAUCCCGAGGCUUAACCUCGGAACUGCAUUUGAAACUAGUUGGUCUUGAGUAUCGGAGAGGUCAUCGGAAUUCUUUGUGUAGCGGUGAAAUGCGUAGAUAUAAGGAAGAACACCAGUGGCGAAGGCGGAUGACUGGACGACAACU
rnacentral:rRNA from 1 species